CUGCCUUGCACGCAGGGGGUCAGGAGUUCGAAUCUCCUUACCUCCACCA
rnacentral:tRNA from 1 species